rnacentral:siRNA from 1 species
UGUGAAUUGCAGAAUCCCGUG